AGAGCACUUUGCAAGCCACCCAGGCUUCAUUACCCCGUCAAUCUGAAGAGAGAGAGAUAGAGAGGGAGAAACAGGCCGGCCAGGGCCCAGCAGUGGGGCCGGAUCCAUAUGGUGCUGCCGGCUCUGGAAUGAAUAGUGAAUGGAGCGGCUGGGCGCUGGGCUGCUGGAAUCUGCCUCCAAGCCUUUGUGAACAGGAUGACCAAAGACAAGAGGGAGCUCUGCAGAUGGCCAGGGCUAUAAAUAGGUGCACAAAUCGCCUGGUCGGCCACAGAUGCGAUGCCUUGGCUCGACUUGAUGACAUCACUCUGCUUCUCCGUUUGGGUCGAUCGCGCAGCUUCUGGAAACCUGGAACCUCUGGAAACAAUUACUGCUAGCGGCAGACUUUGUUCGAUAUCUGAAUUAAACAGAAAUUAAACCAAGCUUUUAUUGAUUGAUUAUGGGAAUGUGACUUAAGACAGACCUUGAGGUGCUUUUUUUGUGAAGAAAACUCCUUUUAAGAGCCUUUUCCAGAAGAGGCCCCCUGUUCAAACUCCAGCAGACACUUUGUCCCUGUGACUUCCCCCCUAGAAGACAAUACACAGCGGAGACCGAUUCAUUCGUGUGACUUAUCUGGCUUAUCAGUGCUGUGAAAAUAAGAAAUACAGUGUU